rnacentral:rRNA from 1 species
UACGUAGGUCCCGAGCGUUGUCCGGAUUUAUUGGGCGUAAAGCGAGCGCAGGUGGUUUAUUAAGUCUGGUGUAAAAGGCAGUGGCUCAACCAUUGUAUGCAUUGGAAACUGGUAGACUUGAGUGCAGUAGAGGAGAGUGGAACUCCAUGUGUAGCGGUGAAAUGCGUAGAUAUAUGGAAGAACACCAGUGGCGAAAGCGGCUCUCUGGUCUGUAACUGACGCUGAGGUUCGAAAGCGUGGGUAGCAAACAGG